ACAAGCAGCGGAGCGUGUGGUUUAAUUCGAUGCUACACGAAGAACCUUACCAGGGUUUGACAUACAAGUGGUAGAGAAGCGAAAGCGGACCGACCCUUCGGGAGCUUGUACAGGUGCUGCAUGGCUGUCGUCAGCUCGUGUCGUGAGAUGUUCGGUUAAGUCCGCUAACGAGCGCAACCCUCGCUGUGUGUUACAAGUGUCACACGGAACUGCCGGUCAUAAACCGGAGGAAGGUGGGGAUGACGUCAAAUCAUCAUGCCCCUUAUAUCCAGGGCUACACACGUGCUACAAUGGCCGGUACAAAGGGUCGCAAUACCACGAGGUGGAGCUAAUCCCAAAAAGCCGGUCUCAGUUCGGAUUGCAGGCUGCAAUUCGCCUGCAUGAAGUCGGAAUCGCUAGUAAUCGCAGGUCAGCAUACUGCGGUGAAUACGUUCCCGGGCCUU
rnacentral:rRNA from 1 species